rnacentral:rRNA from 1 species
GUCUUAUUGAUUAUAAUUUUAAGUCAAUCUGCCCAAUGAUAAAUUUAUUUUAAUGGCUGCAGUAUAUCUGACUGUGCAAAGGUAGCAUAAUAAUUUGAUUUUUAAAUGAAAUCUAGAAUGAAAGAAUUAAUGAAAUAUAUACUGUCUCAAAUUUAUUUUAUGAAUUUAAAUUUUAAAUAAAAAUGUUUAAAUUUUUUUAUGGGACGAUAAGACCCUAUAGAAUUUUAUAUUAAAUUAAAUUUAUAUAAAUAUAAAUUUUAAUUUAAUAUUUAAUUGGGAGAAUUAUUAAAUUUAAUUAAUUUUAAUUAUUAUAAACUUAAAUUAAAGAAAAAAUAUUGAUCUUUAAUUUAAAAUUAAUAGAUUAAAUUACCUUAGGGAUAACAGCGUAAUAUUUUUUUAUAGGUCAUAUAGAAAAAAAUGAUUGCGACCUCGAUGUUGAAUUACGAUAAAUUUUCAAUGCAGGAGUUUACUAAUUAAGUCUGUUCGACUUUUAAAAUCUUACAUGAUUUGAGUUCAAAUCGACGUAAGU